AGAGAAUGAGCCUCUCCUUUGGGCCUCAUCAUUUACAAAAGAAGCUUGGGCCCCUGACAGCAUGCAUCUCCUCUUAUUUCAGCUGCUGGUACUCCUGCCUCUAGGAAAGACCACACGGCACCAGGAUGGCCGCCAGAAUCAGAGUUCUCUUUCCCCCGUACUCCUGCCAAGGAAUCAAAGAGAGCUUCCCACAGGCAACCAUGAGGAAGCUGAGGAGAAGCCAGAUCUGUUUGUCGCAGUGCCACACCUUGUAGCCACCAGCCCUGCAGGGGAAGGCCAGAGGCAGAGAGAGAAGAUGCUGUCCAGAUUUGGCAGGUUCUGGAAGAAGCCUGAGAGAGAAAUGCAUCCAUCCAGGGACUCAGAUAGUGAGCCCUUCCCACCUGGGACCCAGUCCCUCAUCCAGCCGAUAGAUGGAAUGAAAAUGGAGAAAUCUCCUCUUCGGGAAGAAGCCAAGAAAUUCUGGCACCACUUCAUGUUCAGAAAAACUCCGGCUUCUCAGGGGGUCAUCUUGCCCAUCAAAAGCCAUGAAGUACAUUGGGAGACCUGCAGGACAGUGCCCUUCAGCCAGACUAUAACCCACGAAGGCUGUGAAAAAGUAGUUGUUCAGAACAACCUUUGCUUUGGGAAAUGCGGGUCUGUUCAUUUUCCUGGAGCCGCGCAGCACUCCCAUACCUCCUGCUCUCACUGUUUGCCUGCCAAGUUCACCACGAUGCACUUGCCACUGAACUGCACUGAACUUUCCUCCGUGAUCAAGGUGGUGAUGCUGGUGGAGGAGUGCCAGUGCAAGGUGAAGACGGAGCAUGAAGAUGGACACAUCCUACAUGCUGGCUCCCAGGAUUCCUUUAUCCCAGGAGUUUCAGCUUGAAGAGCUAUCCCACUAUUACCUUUGAAAAGCAAAACCACAACAGCAAAGAUGCUGAUUAUUCAGUCUGAAAAUGUUAAGUGGGUACAUAACAUUUUCAGGGAAAGGUACUAUCAGGAGAUAACCUAGCUGGAAGCAUUUCUGGAAUGUCUUCAUAGACUUAUGACACUGGACCAAGGGUUUCUUCUGAUCUGUAAGCAGCCUUCUGUUUAAGUCUCUCAAUCACCUCUCUCCUGUCUGUGUUAAUUUUUACACAUAUAUGGUACAGAACUGCCUUUUCCCAGCCAGACUGCUUUUUCUAUUAAGUUAUUCAAAUUUUUGUUCCUAAAAAUUAUUUUAAUAAUUAGGUUUCUUUUACUUUUAGUGCACACACAUACACACAUUUCCCAGAAUAACUGUUUUUUUUAAAUAAAUCAAUUUAUAUUUUAAUUCUAUUCCUCUUUAAUCACACCAUCUAACAUGACAUUCCAAAGAAGCAAAGGCAUUUAUAUUUAGUGUAUAUUUUGUAACACAUCAACAUGAAUGUGAGUUACACAGAUGCACACAUGGCAUUUACAUUGGAAUAUAUUAUCAUACCCUUUGGUGGUCAAAGGCAACCUAGCUGGCCAAGAUAUGCUCAUAAGGAUAAAAUUGUUAAGCAUUAAUGAUAUCUCAGCUGGUCAAUAUAUUUUGGUGCCAAAAGCUAUCAAACAGCUGUCAUGAUUGCAAUCGCCUAACCCUGAUUAUGAAAACCUAUCUCUGCCAAUUGGACUGUCCUUCUCCUCCUUACAUGCUUGUAAAUCCGUUUCAUCCAUCCUUGCAAAUAGACUCUCAAGCCCAAACCCCAAACAAUGAUCUGUUUUAUUCAAAUUUUGGUCUGCGCUUCCCUUGCAUGUAAAUUCUAGAUGGGAUAGUUGAUAGUGGUAUCAAACCUUACAUUUAUAGAAUAAUUGCAUGAAAUUCAACAAAAUUGCUCAUAUUCAAUCAUUUUUACUUACAAAAAAGGCAAUUUACAAAGGUUGAACAUAAUAUGUAAGACUGUAAGAAACCAAGAGGAAAAACACAAAUAUUGAACAUUUAUUAAGUGCCAGAUACUGUGCUGUCUUUUACAAGAAGUUAACAAUUUAAUCCUCACAAAAACUAUAUAAAGUAGGUUAUCACUGUAUUUUAUGGGUAAGAAAAGCAAGCCUUUAAAAGUUUCAGAAUUUGCCUAAGAGCAUUUGGAGAAUAUUUUCUAUUUUGGAUUAAAAUAUUUGCUCAUUUGUUCUUUGUCAGUUUAUAUUGAACUCUUCCAGGUCUCUUGCCUAUAGGCUUCAAAGCAAAUUUCUUUUUACCACUUACCUAGCUCUCCUAUCUGAAGGAUUUUGAUGUUAUAUCUCAAAAGAGAAAUCAUCUCUAGGUCAGGUUAUCGGCCAAAUAUUUCCUUGACUCCGUUGGUCCUCAUGGCACACCUCUUCAUAAAUCCUGGUCUCAUUUUCCUCUCAUAUAAAAUAAGGCUGGUAAUAAUUACCUCAAAAUUAUUGUGAUGAUCAAGUGUACAUAACAACACUUCAGAGAACUUUAGAUCCUGUAAAACUACAAGGGAUUAAUUUAUUCUUUUCCGUUCAGACCUUCUAUUUUUUAAAUUUGUUUUGAGAAAUUGAAAACACACGGAAAAGCGCAAAUAAUAAUAUAACACUGAAAUUCAUAUAAACGAAAUAAAUAGUUACUAUUUUGUCA